GCCGCUCAGAAGGCCGCGGCGUGCGCACGCAUCCCACCAAACCGGAUCGCCGGAUUUCCUUUCGCGCAAUACAACGGUGCAAGAAUCUCCGGGCGGACGCCGGAAGCCGCUAGCUUUUGUGCAAAAGCUAGUCGGGGUCAGGUACGACGACGACGACGACGAGUGAGUGGCGAACAUCUCUAGUGGGCUGCGAGGCUAGUGUGUGGCCGUGUGGGUGGCCUCCAGGAAUCUUCGGACAUUGGAUAAAGCCGUACACAAUAUAAAAAGCGGGGUCAGGACGAAGGUCGAACCAGUUCCGAAGCUAUGCGCAAGGAAGCUUCGGCUCAACGACAGAAAGGAGAACCGGCUUAAAGGGGAAAAGGCUAUCUAGUCCUUGUUGGAUUGUCAUUAAGUCAAUAGUAAACAUAAAGGGCAUGAAUGUAAUUUUACACAGGCUGCGCCUUGUGCCUAUAAAUAGAUGAACAGUACCCCCGUACUGUUCACUCUGAUUUGUACUCGCUCGUGCGUCACACUUGUACUUUUGCCUUCUGUCAAGCCGAAGGUACAAAUGUAAUUCAAUAUUGUUCUUAUUC
rnacentral:lncRNA from 7 species